ACAUGCCUAUAGCAUAGUGUUUAUACACCAGAUCCCAUUAGAACUCUACAACUAAGCGCACUCAGGCUAGAGUAGUACUAGGAUGGGUGACCUCCCGGGAAUUCCUAGUGUUUUACAUGAC
rfam:Picea glauca, whole genome shotgun sequence.